rnacentral:rRNA from 1 species
CUAGUUGGAGGCGAUAAACCUACCGCACCAAGAGAUAGCUGGUUACUCAAAAAAAGAAUGUUAGUUCUACCUUAAGUUUCCUAGUAUUCAUAAACCUGAACUAAACUUAAGAGCUAUUCAAAUAGGGCACAGCUUAUUUGAAAAAGGAUACAACCUAUCAUAUUGGGUAACAAACCAAGAAAACUGUUAAGUGGGCCUAAAAGCAGCCAUCUUUCAAAAAGCGUUAAAGCUUUACCUUUAUUCUUUAAAAAUAAUAUUAUUUCCACCUAACCCAUUAUCAAUAUUGAGUAACUCCAUAAAAAUAUGGAAGAUAUAAUGCUAGAACUAGUAACAAGAAGCAGAACUUCUCCAAAAUGUAAGCCUAAGCCACUUUAGACACCCUACUGGCAAUUAACGUUUAUGAGUACACUUUAUUAACACCCCCCCCCUGGAAAACCUUAAAUAUCUUGACGUUAAACUUACACUAGAACAUUUAUGGAAAGAUCAAAAGGAAAAGAAGGAACUCGGCAAAUAUUAACCCCGCCUGUUUACCAAAAACAUCGCCUCUUGCCAAAAUAUAAGAGGUCCAGCCUGCCCAGUGACAAAUUUAACGGCCGCGGUACCCUAACCGUGCAAAGGUAGCAUAAUCAUUUGUUCUUUAAAUGAGGACUUGUAUCAACGGCACCACGAGGGUUAAACUGUCUCCUUUUCCCUAUCAGUAAAACUAAUCUCCCCGUGAAGAAGCGGGGAUAAUUUUAUAAGACGAGAAGACCCCAUGGAGCUUUAAACCCAACUACACCCCCUCUAAUUUUACUUUUAAGCACACAGGGCCCUGUAUGUUCUGGUUUUAGGUUGGGGUGACCACGGAGCAUAAACCAGCCUCCAUAAUGAAUAGACCUCCUCUUUAUCCAAGACUCACACUUCUAAGAAUUAGCAAUCUAACAUAAAAUGAUCCGAUAUUCGAUCAACGAACC